rnacentral:rRNA from 1 species
CCUACGGGAGGCAGCAGUAGGGAAUCUUUCACAAUGGGCGCAAGCCUGAUGGAGCAACGCCGCGUGCAGGAUGAAGGCCUUCGGGUUGUAAACUGCUGUUAUAAGCGAGAAAUAUGAUGGUAACUGAUGAGUAAGGAUCGGCUAACUACGUGCCAGCAGCCGCGGUCAUACGUAGGAUCCGAGCAUUAUCCGGAGUGACUGGGUGUAAAGAGUUGCGUAGGUGGGAUAAUAAGUAGCUAGUGAAAACUGGUGGCUAAACCAUUCAGACUACUAGCUAAACUGUUAAGCUCGAGACCGUUAGGGGUAACUGGAAUUUCUAGUGUAGGAGUGAAAUCCGUAGAUAUUAGAAGGAACACCAAUAGCGUAGGCAGGUUGCUGGGACGGUUCUGACACUAAGGCACGAAAGCGUAGGGAGCAAACAGGAUUAGAUACCCUUGUAGUC